CCCCUCUCAGGACCUCACCUGGAGAGUUUCCAGUCCUCUACCAGUCUCGGCUAAGGGAGGGAGAGUGAAACAGAGGCCCGUCCAUUCCAUUCCUAGCUUGGCCAGCGGCUAGCGAGUGAAAGACAAUCUGCUACAAGU
rfam:Ornithorhynchus anatinus chromosome 4, whole genome shotgun sequence.